AGCAGAUCUAAAAAGAUGCUGACUAGCUAGCACACUAGCAAUCCCAGUAUUGGGAUUUCCUCUGCGGACGCAAUUACCGGUCCUAGGUGAAGCAGGCAGGGAGGCAGAUUGGCUUCUGCCCUCCGCAAGCUCACACUUCCGAGGACUACGGGCCGCAUGCUGCCGUCGUCAAGGCAACGACCUCACUCGGUCCCCAGCCAUAGGCAGUCUCCAGAGAGAGAGAAAGGGCCCGAGUCAGAAUGCGUCUGCGACAGGCAAAGACACAAGCACCUGUCAAGGACAACAGCUGCAGAGAAACGAACUGAGGAAAACAGAGCACCGCCGGCCGAAAGCCCUCGGGUCGCUCAGCUCAGGGAAGCAGCACCUCGCCAAGUAGCCCUAGGCGAAGGCGUUGGCCACCCUAGCUGCAAGGGGCGGCUCUCACCCGCCUGGUCCCGCCCCGCCUACGGCGGAGCCUCCCUGAUCCUGAUUGGCUGAGGCCUGUCGUCAGGCGUUGUGAUUGGCUCUGUGCCACCCCGCCCCGCCCCUUCACCUGGAGCUCGCAGGUUCGCUCAGCUGACGGCCUCGUCCCCACACCUACGGUCUUAAGUUUGUAGGGACCUUUCUGCCGGCGCCAGGAGACCUCUGCUCUCAGGGGACCGCAGGUUGCCCCAGUGGCCACGAGGAGAGCCAAGGUGACGGUUCGCUGGGACUGAGGAGACCAUGAGAUUUCCCAGCUUGCCCGCCCGCGGCGCGGCGGGGCGCUGCGGGGCGCGGGCCCCACCCGGGGAGGUUCCGCCCAGCCGCGAUUCCUCGCUUCCUUUCGGUUCCGGGCGGUGGACCGGAAGAGCCUAGUAGUUUAUUUAGCCGAAAUUGGUGGGAUGAGAUCUGUUGACAGACCUGACAGGAAAAAGGACCCUGGGACGCCAGCCUGGUAGGGAAAGAUUUGGGGUGGAGCCCAGAGAGGACCAGAAAGCAAGAAAGGUAGGUGCUGACUGCAAGCGGCGCAAGCUGGAGCUUAAAGCUUGCCUUCAGCUUGAAGACUAGAUUAGCCACGACAGGGCAAGAUCGGAAGACCAUUACCAAGCAUAUGCUGACGUCGUACGAGAAGCCGGGAAAUGCUUUAUCCCUCCUUAUUAAGGGACUGAGAUUGUAAGGCCAAAUAGUUUUACUUGUAUUCACCUAUAGCCACACAAUUUGUACUCAACUAAAUAUGUUUUUUUUUUUAAUAGCUCGAUCCAGGAAAGUAUCCUUGAUAACAGACACGUAUAUGCCUAGCCAGCACCCAGGGGUUAUUCUUGCAUAGUAAGGUGUAAGAGCAAUUGUUUUAUAAUUUUUCUUAGUUCGGUACUGCAUUAAUCUCCCGGUGCUCAGUUACCAUCAUUCACCAAACUGCUUAAAAUCGAGUUCCCGAACCUACAAUUUUGAGAACCACCUCUGGAAACAGGGUAUGGGUUUUUGGUUUUUUUGUUUUGUUUUGUUUUGUUUUGUUUUUUUGGGGGGGGGUUGUUUUUGGAUAACCCAAGAUGUGAGUUAUAAUGUAGCAAUGAGCUGUGACCAACUUGAAGAUAAUUCCCAUCGCUUUACUCUAGAUUGUAACAAACCCCAUGAGGUUUAAAUAGAAAAAUAUUUAUGAGU
rnacentral:lncRNA from 1 species